rnacentral:rRNA from 1 species
CCUACGGGUGGCAGCAGUGGGGAAUAUUGCGCAAUGGGCGAAAGCCUGACGCAGCGACGCCGCGUGAGGGAUGAAGGUCUUCGGAUCGUAAACCUCUGUCAGCAGGGAAGAACGGUCACUGUGCUAAUCAGCAGUGAAUUGACGGUACCUGCAAAGGAAGCACCGGCUAACCCCGUGCCAGCAGCCGCGGUAAUACGGAGGGUGCGAGCGUUAGUCGGAAUUACUGGGCGUAAGGGGCUCGUAGGCGGUAUGUCAAGUCAAGGGUGAAAGCCCCGCGCUCAACGGGGGGACUGCCUGUGAAACUGGGAAACUGGAGUGUGGGAGAGGAUAGUGGAAUUCCAGGUGUAGGAGUGAAAUCCGUAGAUAUCUGGAGGAACAUCAGUGGCGAAGGCGACUAUCUGGCACAUAACUGACGCUGAGGAGCGAAAGCGUGGGUAGCAAACAGGAUUAGAUACCCGGGUAGUC